rnacentral:rRNA from 1 species
GAUGAACGCUGGCGGCGUGCCUAAUACAUGCAAGUCGAGCGAACAGACGAGGAGCUUGCUCCUCUGACGUUAGCGGCGGACGGGUGAGUAGCACGUGGAUAACCUACCUAUAAGACUGGGAUAACUUCGGGAAACCGGAGCUAAUACCGGAUAAUAUAUUGAACCGCAUGGUUCAAUAGUGAAAGACGGUUUUGCUGUCACUUAUAGAUGGAUCCGCGCCGCAUUAGCUAGUUGGUAAGGUAACGGCUUACCAAGGCGACGAUGCGUAGCCGACCUGAGAGGGUGAUCGGCCACACUGGAACUGAGACACGGUCCAGACUCCUACGGGAGGCAGCAGUAGGGAAUCUUCCGCAAUGGGCGAAAGCUUGACGGAGCAACGCCGCGUGAGUGAUGAAGGUCUUCGGAUCGUAAAACUCUGUUAUUAGGGAAGAACAAAUGUGUAAGUAACUAUGCACGUCUUGACGGUACCUAAUCAGAAAGCCACGGCUAACUACGUG